GGGACAUGACUGUGCUCUGAUAAAAGAGGCUCUUAGACCUGCCUUAACCUUUCUCCCACGGGAGAACACGGUUUUUAGAUCAAAAAGAAUUGUACUCAAGGAAUUGAAGCUAUGGAGCCUCUGCCACAUCUGGACCUGAUUUUGAUGACAAGAUCCUGUACCUCAAGCCCGAGACUAAUUUCAUAAUUUGAUGAAUCUUUUUGGAGAGUCAUGGGAGGAAUGUAAACAAUUUGUGGCCAAAGGAGAAUUAUGGUAGUUUGAAGAUGUGGAUACAAAUUAUUUGACAUUCUUCUCAUAGAAAGGUGAUGCUUAUGUCUCCACCCCUUGUAAACAAGCUGGCUUGUGACUUUGACCUAUAGUGUAUGGUGGGAGUGAUGCUGUGGAACUGGAAUUACUAGCAUCAGGAAACCUACUUGCUACAGACCCAACAACGUGCAAUGAUCAGAUCCCAAUUUAGACUGUAAAAAGACCAAUAUCAGAGACUAAGAACUGAGAUCAAACAUACCUUCUUCCUGUACCAAACAGUUCUGGGGCCAAAUAUUGUCUACUGUCUCUAUGCUAACUAGUACUGAAACCAGGCAAAAUUAACUACUUAGCCGCUUGUUCCAGGAAAUACCUGCUCUCGGAAGAAAUAAGUUAACCCACCUGUAUUAGUCUGUUUUCUGCUGCCAUAACAGAACAUUACAGACUAGAUAAUUACUUUGAAAAGUUUAUUUGACCCACAGUUCUGGAAGCUAGGAAAUCCAAGAGGAUGGCACUGGUGUCUGGUGAGGGUCAUGUUAUAGUGGAGGAGUGGAGGAUGGAAGCAAACACAUGAGACAGAGAGAGAAAUCAGGCCAGACUUACUUCUCUAACAAACCCCAUCUCAAUAACUAACUCAUUCCUAUGAUAAUAGCAUUAAUUAUCUCAUGAAAGCCCUCAUAACCUAAUUACCUCUUAAAGACCCCACAUCAAUAAAAUAUCAACAUGA
ensembl:lncRNA LINC02607 long intergenic non-protein coding RNA 2607